rnacentral:misc_RNA from 1 species
UUUCCGUAGGUUAACCUGCGGAAGGAUCAUUAUUGUAUAACCGACGUUCAAGCUCUUUCGCUCACUCGAAACGUCGUUCACGCCCGAGUGCCCUCCCACACAUCCAUCUCACCCCUAUGUGCACCACCGCGUUGGCCCCCCUAUGGCUUUUUCGGCGACGUGCUUACGCUUUCACACACACUCUACAUGCAGUGUAGAAUUUAUUUCUUGUUUUUGCGAUCCCGCAAUCAAUACAACUUUCAACAACGGAUCCCUUGGAUCUCGCCUCGAUGCGCAACC